GGAAGUUUUGGAAGUGAGAUUUUGGAAGAUGAUUUGAAAGCGUGGAGCUAUUGAAUACACAUCGCCUCGAUCAAUUUGAUAGAUUAUUAACGUUUACUAAUACCUAAAGUUGGAUUACAAAAGUAUUUCGAAGUGUUUUGUGAAAGUUUAUCGUCGACUUUUUUAAUUUAAAAAAAUGACGUAGCAUUUCGAAACGGUGUUUUUUUCUGAAUCACACAGUUUCCAUAGAUGUAUAUUUUGGGUAUAUAUGGACCGAUUUAAUCGAAAAAAAGACCCAAUAGUGAUGUUUAUGGGACAUAUAGGAGUGCCAACAAAGAAGCUCGUCCAAGGACCUGAGCCCUAGGACCAUGCCUCAGGACUACCUGGCAUGAUGACUCCUUGUUGUCCCCAGUCCACCUGGCCGUGGUGCUGCUCCAGUUUCAACUGUUCUGCCGGCGGCUAUGGAACCCUGGCCUGUUCACUGUGAUCACUAUUAUUUGACCAUGCUUGUCAUUUAUGAACAUUUGAACAUCUUGACCAUGUUCUGUUAUAAUCUCCACCCGGCACAGCUAGAAGACGACUGCCCACCCCUCAUAGCCUGGUUCCUCUCUAGGUUUUGGCCGUUCUAGGGAGUUUUUCAUCACCACCGUGCUUCUACACCUGCAUUGCUUGCUGUUUGGGGUUUUAGGCUGGGUUUCUGUAUAGCACUUUGAUAUAUCAGCUGAUGUAAGAAGGGCUAUAUAAAUAAAUUUGAUUUGAUUUUGACAUACAUAAUGCAUUAAGUGCAUUCAUAAUCCUGUCAUAAACACUUAUACUUCAUUAUAAUUUAUCACUUGCUACAGUAUAUACACUCAGAAAUAGUUAAAACAUCUGUAGAAGGCAAUACGUGUGUUUGCCUACAGAAAAAUGUUACCCAUUUUUUCAUUAAUCACAACAGUUUGGCGAGCCCUACAUGACAGUCAUGUGUGUAGAUUUCUUUCAGUCCUGUUUCCCCCUUCAUAUGCCUAAUAGGCAUGGCAGAGACUAUUCUCUGUUUUAAUUGGCAAACAUUUGUUCUUUAGUGGUUAGGCAUGAACUGUUUUCAAUUUUCUCGUUAGUCACACAACUCUGGGUCUCUAAUGCCAUGCGAUCUACAAUUCCAGAACAAUGCCACACAUAAUGGUGCAGGGCUUUAUUCCGGGCAGCUGCUGAAGAAACAGAGAGAAAACUGCUUCCAUAUUGUAACUAAAAUAUAAGAGGUUUAAAUCUAGUCCAAAAAGAACAUUCAGCUGGAGAUGAAUGCAUGGGGGUGUGACCAGUUGAAAGAACCAAAGAAGACGACGAUCGAGUGUAUCAGAAUGGGCUAAAUAAUUCCAUAUAAGAAAGAUUUGAAGCAUCCCAAACAUCAAACGUGUAUAAAUUCUUGCUUCAACAUAUUAAAGCUAGAAUCCUUAGUUGCCACAUCCAUUUUUGGAUUUACAGAUUAAUAACAAAAUGAUGUCCCAUUGAUUCUUGAAGAAUAUAACUUAUAAAUGCCUCAUGAUGUUAUUUCAACUGUCGUACUCCAUCAGAACCCAACAUAUAAACUUGCUUUACUCCAAUGUUUGUAAACAAUGUAAAUGUAACCAAAUACUGUAUCGCCUCAAAACAAUGGUUUAAACUAUAAUGUUGCUAUAAUGGAUGGUCAGUCCGUACAUACUGUACAUAGCUCCGUCUAUGAAUUUGAGAGUAGUUACAUUUAUCCAGGCCCAUCCCUUAGCUUUUUUCCAAAACAGAGGCGGGUAACCACUUUGUUAUUGAGGGGAUUUGAUUAUCUGGCCCUGGUUACCCCGGUGGGAGGAGUUUGCACCGGGUGAAACGUGAUUGCAUUAGUCUUGGAUCCGGCUGCCUCCGGCACGUGAGCCAGGUGCCCCGUUCAAAGCUCACAGCGAAGUCAGCUCAAAACAAGAGUGACUUAGCCUAGGCUAGAUAAAACACGUGGAGUAAUGAGUAGGAUUAUGUGUUUACGAUAAAAAUGUUUUCUCUGCCUCCCAAGGAAGUCUCCCCGGUUGUCCUUUCAUGUGAGAGCAGUCUGCCUUGAUGAAUAAAAUAUUUCCUACAAUUGCAUAAUGUCGCUCCAAGCCGCAGGGGGAGAGAGCGUAGAGCGAUCUGUCCUCCACUCUCUCAGUCAAGCGUUGAGAGAAAAUGGUGAACCUUUGAGGACGCUGGCAGGGAAAGGUGAUAACGCUGUUUACCGAUGUUCAGUCCAAAGCAAUACUUUGCAUAAGCCCACAGGCACAUCAAAGCUGGUUCACCGAGCUAGGCUC
ensembl:lncRNA